rnacentral:tRNA from 1 species
CGGAAUGUAGCGCAGCCCGGUAGCGCACUUGACUGGGGGUCAAGGGGUCGUCGGUUCAAAUCCGGCCAUUCCGACCA